rnacentral:lncRNA from 1 species
CUGCUUCGGUUUCUACGAUAAUUUCAUCUAGUGUUGGCUCUACCGCUCCUGCCUCCGUGGGUUUUCAUCCAACCGCUUGACCCUUAUUUCUCUACCACAAAACCAACCACUUUCAGCUUAAAAUUUUGGAUCCAUCAAUUUAUAUAUUUUAGAUUUUGAUCACUUCAUUUUACGUUUCUUAAUAAAAUCAGAUUAAAUCAAAUUUAAAUUUAAAUAAAAAUUAGAUGAAAUUUUUUGAAACCGACUAAACUUUUAACAACUCUAACUAAACCUUGCAAAAGAAAAAUUAAGCAGUAAAAGAUAGACCAAACCAUUCCAUUGCCUUCGUCAACGCUUGGAGUUCUUUGUAUAAGCCAUAUGCAUCAUAAGUGUCUUCUAACAAUACCACACAAUCAAGCCAUUUAGAUGUUACGAUGCGGG